rnacentral:lncRNA from 1 species
GCUUUGUUUCUUCCUCUCCUAGUGCUAUAAACAUGGCAAGCCAAAGGAAGACAUUAGAAAACAACACAAGGAAGCUAUGAAGGCUGUUGAGAAAGCAAAGAAGCCAGCUGGACCGGUUUAUUUCCUGUGGGAGGAGGGCUKCACAAAACGCUGCGAGUCAAGGUCCUCUCUGACUACAGCUGACAUCAGAAGAAUUCAGCAUCUUCAGUCUAA